UAGGGAAUCUUCCGCAAUGGGCGAAAGCCUGACGGAGCAACGCCGCGUGAGUGAAGAAGGAUUUCGGUUCGUAAAGCUCUGUUGUUAGGGAAGAAUGAUUGUGUAGUAACUAUACACAGUAGAGACGGUACCUAACCAGAAAGCCACGGCUAACUACGUGCCAGCAGCCGCGGUAAUACGUAGGUGGCAAGCGUUGUCCGGAAUUAUUGGGCGUAAAGCGCGCGCAGGUGGUUUAAUAAGUCUGAUGUGAAAGCCCACGGCUCAACCGUGGAGGGUCAUUGGAAACUGUUAAACUUGAGUGCAGGAGAGAAAAGUGGAAUUCCUAGUGUAGCGGUGAAAUGCGUAGAGAUUAGGAGGAACACCAGUGGCGAAGGCGGCUUUUUGGCCUGUAACUGACACUGAGGCGCGAAAGCGUGGGGAGCAAACAGGAUUAGAUACCCUGGUAGUCCACGCCGUANCGAUGAGUGCUAAGUGUUGGUCUCAUAAGAGAUCAGUGCUGCAGCUAACGCAUUUAGCACUCCGCCUGGGGAGUACGACCGCAAGGU
rnacentral:rRNA from 1 species